rnacentral:rRNA from 1 species
UACAGAGGGUGCAAGCGUUGUUCGGAAUUAUUGGGCGUAAAGGGAGUGUAGGCGGUCUGGUAAGUCUUCUGUGAAAUCUACGGGCUUAGCCUGUAACGUGCAGAGGAAACUACCAGGCUUGAGUGUCGGAGAGGAUAGGGGAAUUCCCGGUGUAGAGGUGAAAUUCGUAGAGAUCGGGAGGAACACCAGUGGCGAAGGCGCCUAUCUGGCUGACAACUGACGCUGAGACUCGAAAGCAUGGGGAGCAAACAGG